UAAAAAGAAAGAAGAAUGCAUCCAGGAGCGCAGCAUAACAGCCUUAGAAGAUGUUGAAUUUGCCUCACAUUAAUCCUACCUUUAGUAUACAGUAACAAACAUCACACUACGUAAAAGAACAACUAAAAUUUCAGAGUAACACCGUUUUCUCUUUUUGCAGCCAUACAGUUCUGCAGUCCUAAAUGAAAUAUCAAAGUUGGUAGAGGUUUGAGAUCUGGAUUUAACUUGCAAAAUACAUUUCAUUAAAAGUUGGGGUAUGACAGUCUUCUGGGUAUCUGACCUCUUCAUUUCAUUACAUGAGGCAAAGGAGGGAGGCAAAGUGAUUUCCCCAUACUUCAGCAUCUCCUCCGAUUAGCAUCCAUUAUACCUACCACCACGCUCCCUAUAAAGGCCUUUAUCCAAAACGAACAGUAAACGCGACUCGCUUUGUCCCAAGCCCUCCUCCUCAGCACCCUAUCAGGAUUGUCCCGGAAAGACCUCUCUCCGGCCGCUACACUUCCUCCAGGGAUGCGCAAAGGCUCUUCUGCAGCUGAGGCGCUGCUGAACCCCGCAGCAUGGGCAGAAAGGGGCGCCUCUCCGCAGCAGGAACCGGGGUGGUCCCACUCCAUCCGGCGCCGGGGGUCCACACGGCUAAGCGCCAGCACGCGUGCAAAGAGAGGAGGCCCCGGCGACUGCCCGCCCCCGCGGUUGGUUUGGUUUCGUUUCGAAACGAAGUUCCGAACGGGCAGACUCAGGAGGAGCCAGGCCCGUGCUCCUGACGUGUUUCCGGAAACCGGUACCGCCGCAGCCACGUGACACGGAGGGGGAGGCGGUGGCUACGAUGGCGCGCGGAGAGAUCCCCCUCCUACCCCCAGUCAACCAAGAGUCAUGUGACCCCGGGAAUUGUGAUCGCGGACGGUGCGGAGGAGAAGGAAAGGAAGCGCAAAGAACGCCUUCGCCCUCGUGACGUCAUACAGGGCUCCCAUGGCAACUGCUCUGUUAGGAGAGGCUUGAAAACUACAUUUCCUGACCAUAUACUGUAACAUCUUUAGCUUGAGUUCAAACUUUUCUGCAAACUCUCCUUCACUGUAGUCAGGAUGCAUAACAGACGUUUGUUUGCUGUAUCAGAUUUCAGGACUUGAAUAGUACUACGAACAACAAGAACAACAAUAAAGACAACUCAAGGCUGUUCUGGCUGGUGGCUGAUCAUCCAAACCUGUGUAACACUGUCUUGCCGCUGGCCACCUCACCUUCAGGACUAGGGACUGACAUGGAGUGUUAUAGAGACCCCAGAUUAAUUGACCCCAUUUGAUCUUCCAUCAUUUAUUGACCAAAUAUUGACACCCCCCCAGACAUUUACUGACCCCCUUUUGACCCCCAGACAUUUAUUGACCCCUUGAAUAGUUCCAUCAACCCUUUGGGGAGGGUUCCACUUUGGGGAACCCUGGGUAUC